GCCUGGGUGGCUCAGUCGGUUAAGUGUCUGACUUCGGCUCAGGUCAUGAUCUCACAGUUCGUGGGUUUGAAUCCCACAAUGGGCU
rnacentral:tRNA from 1 species